rnacentral:ncRNA from 1 species
CAAAAGCUUGGUCCUGACUUUACUAUCAGCUUUAGCAACACUUACACAUGCAAGUAUCCGCACCCCAGUGAAAAUGCCCCCCGCCUUCUUAAAGAAGACAAGGAGCUGGUAUCAGGCACGCACAGCAGCCCAUGACACCUUGCUAAGCCACACCCCCAAGGGAACUCAGCAGUGAUAAACAUUAAGCAAUAAGUGAAAACUUGACUUAGUAAAAGCUAAUAAGGGUCGGUUAAACUCGUGCCAGCCACCGCGGUUAUACGAGAGACCCAAGUUGAUAAAAUACGGCGUAAAGCGUGGUUAAAAGCCCCCACUAAACUAAGACUAAACCUUUCCAAAGCUGUUAUACGCACCCGGAAAUAUGAAACUCAACUACGAAAGUGGCCUUAAUUUCCCCUUGACCCCACGAAAGCUGCGAAACAAACUGGGAUUAGAUACCCCACUAUGCGCAGCCAUAAACUUUGAUAGAAAACUACAAAUUCUAUCCGCCCGGGAACUACGAGCAUAAGCUUAAAACCCAAAGGACUUGGCGGUGCUUUAGACCCCCCUAGAGGAGCCUGUUCUAGAACCGAUAACCCCCGUUAGACCUCACCUUUUCUUGUCUAUCCCGCCUAUAUACCGCCGUCGUCAGCUUACCCUGUGAAGGAUUAAUAGUAAGCAAAACUGGUAAAACCCAAAACGCCAGGUCGAGGUGUAGCAUACGAAAAGGAAAGAAAUGGGCUACAUUUCCUUCCCCCAGGAAACACGAAUUGUGCUAUGAAAUAACACAUGAAGGUGGAUUUAGCAGUAAGCAGAAAACAGAGAGUUCCGCUGAAACCGGCCCUGAAGCGCGCACACACCGCCCGUCACUCUCCCCAAGUUCUUAUACAUUAAUAACUAAUACCCCACCAGAACAAAGGGGAGGCAAGUCGUAACAUGGUAAGUGUACCGGAAGGUGCGCUUGGAAAAAC